CUCAUGGCAAACAAGCUGGGGGAGAAGAAGAGGAGUAAUUACUAGAGAGAAUUCUAAUGGGGAAACAAAGCUUCCUGAAGGACAGGGUCCGAUGCAAACAUCCUCGAUAAUGACAGAAUUAAACUGGUGAGGGCUGGCUGAGGACUCAGGCUGGCUGGGCUGGAAUUCUGCUUCUACCAUCUACCACUGGAAAAGUGAGUUCUCACAGCCUCAGCUCUCUGACUCUUAAAGAACACAGUCGCAAAUCACAGGACUGUCAAGAGGAUUAAAAGAGAUGACACAGGCAAAGCACCUAGCGUUUAUGAACAUCCUGUUUGCCAAGUAAAGAACAUCUGCAACGCCCCCCAACCGUCCCCUAACUGCAAAAAUUCCGCUUCUGUAAUUCUGCUUGCUAAGCACCCCUGCAGCCCCUAUAAAACCUUCCAACCCCCUGAAUUCGAGGCCCUCUCUAAGCCUGUUGCUUGGAGAGUGCCGUCUGGCCAGACUAAUAAAGGUCUGUUUUACUUUUCCAA